rnacentral:lncRNA from 1 species
CCACACAUAAAACCCACAACCAAACACAGAAAUCAAAAUAAUCAAAAUAAAUUCUAUAACGCAUACAUAAAGUAAAAAAAUAAUACCCAAACAUAACAAACAUAACGAGCGAUGUGAUAUGGGAGAAUUCGAAUGAAACUUACCAAAAAAGUAUUUCUUCAUACACUUCACCUGCUCCCGAAUAACCUGAAAAAAUGAAGUGAUACGGUUAUAAAUUGUGGGCUAAGAAACCGAGAUUAAAUGAAAAGACGAGAAAAGGAAAAUAACAUUCCAUGGAAAAAUGCUACCAAAAGGAAAUCAAGUUCUUCUCACCUAAAAUCAAAGAAAUCACAAACAAAAAACAAAACACAAAUGCGCACAAAAAAUAACACAAAUCAACAAAUAAUACCAACUCGUAACAGAGAUAAUGAAAAUUGCAAUAUAGCAGACAAAAGGGAAUACGAAGUAAACUUAGAUAAGAAGUACUUCCUCAAAAACUUCUCUUGCCUCCGAGAAACCUGAAAAAUCAAGUGAUAUGCUUAGAAAUGCUUGCCAAAGAAGCCGAGAUCACAUGAAAACACCAGAAAUGGAAAUUACACUAUUCUCACCCACAAAAAAAGAAAUGAGAAAUAAAAAAUGAAACGUAUAGCGCACAAACGAAAACAUAAUGAACAAAUUCGAAAUGAAUUGAAUAAUGCAUAGAUCAAGUCAACAAAUCAUACCCAAACAUAACAGAUAUAUUGAACAAUGCGAUAUAUGAAAGAACAGAGAAUACGAAGAAAACUUAUCUAAGAAGACUUUCCUCACACCCUUCUCCUGCUCCCGAGAAUCCUGAAAAAUCCACUUAUAUGCUUAUUAAUGGUUGGACAAGACACUGAGAUCCGAUGAAAAGACGAGAAAAUAAAAAUUACAUCCCAUGGAAAAACACAGUUCAAAGGAAAUCAAAUACUUCUCACAAACAAUCAAAUAAAAAACAAAUAAAAAGCCACACAUAAAACCGACAACCAAACAAAGAAAUUAAAAUAUUCUAAAUAAAUUCUAUAACGCAUAUAUAAAGUAAAAAAAUAAUACCCAAACAUAACAGACAUAACGAAUGAUGUGAUAUGGGAGAUAUCUAAUGAAACUUACCAAAAAAGUACUUCUUCAUACACUUCACCUGCUCUCGAAUAACCUGAAAAAAUGAAGUUAUACGGUUAUAAAUUGUGGGCUAAUAAACAGACAUUAAAUGAAAAGACGAGAAAAGGAAACUAACAUUCCAUGGAAAUAUGCUUCAAAAAGGAAAUCAAGAACUUCUCACCCAAAAUCAAAGAAAUCACAAACAACAAACAAAACACAAAUGCGCACAAAAAAUAACACAAAUGAACAAAUAAUACCAACACAUAACAGAGAUAAUGAAAAUUGCAAUAUAGCAGACAAAAAGGAAUACGAAGUAAACUUAGAUAAGAAGUACUUCCUCAUAAACUUCUCUUGCUUCCGAGAAACCUGAAAAAUCCAGGGAUAUGCUUAGAAAUGCUUGCCAAAGAAGCCGAGAUCACAUGAAAAGACCAGAAACGGAAAUUACACUAUUCUCACCCACAAAGAAACAAAUGAGAAAUAAAAAAUGAAACGUGAAGCGCACAAACCAAAAUAUAAUGAACAUAUUCGAAAUGAAUUCAAUAAUGCAUAGAUCAAGUCAACAAAUCAUACCCAGACAUAACAGAUAUAUUGACCAAUGCGAUAUAUGAAAGAACAGGGAAUACGAAGAAAACUUAUCUAAGAAGACAUUCCUCACACACUUCUCCUGUUUCGAGAAUCCUGAAAAAUCACCUUAUAUACUUAUUAAUGGUGGGCCAAGACACCGGGAUCAGAUGAAAAGACGAGAAAAUAAAAAUAACAUCCCAAGGAAAAACACAGUUCAAAGAAAAUCUAAUACUUCACACAAACAAUCAAAUAAAUGACAAAUAAAAAGUCACACAUAAAACCCACAACCAAACACAGAAAUCAAAAUAUUCUAAAUAAAUUCUAUAACGCAUACAAAAAGUCAAAAAAUAAUACCCAAACAUAACAAACAUAACGAGCGAUGUGAGAUGGGAGAAUUCGAAUGAAACUUACAAAAAAAGUAUUUCUUCAUACACUUCACCUGCUCCCGAAUAACCUGAAAAAAAUGAAGUUAUACGGUUAUAAAUUGUGGGCUUAAAACCGACAUUAAAUGAAAAGACGAGAAAAGGAAACUAACAUUCCAUGGAAAAAUGCUACAAAAAGGAAAUCAAGAACUUCUCACCCAAAAUCAAAGAAAUCACAAACAACAAACAAAACACAAAUGCACACAAAAAAUAACACAAAUGAACAAAUAAUACCAACACAUAACAGAGAUAAUGAAAAUUGCGAUAUAGCAGACAAAAGGGAAUACGAAGUAAACUUAGAUAAGAAGUACUUCCUCAUAAACUUCUCUUGCUUUCGAGUAACCUGAAAAAUCCAGUGAUAUGCUUAGAAAUGAUUGCCAAAGAAGCCGAGAUCACAAGAAAAGACCAGAAAUGGAAAUUACACUAUUCUCACCCACAAAGAAAGAAAUCAGAAAUAAAAAAUGAAACGCAAAGCACACAAACCAAAACAUAAUGAACAUAUUCGAACUUAAUUCAAUAAUGCAUAGAUCAAGUCAACAAAUCAUACCCAAACAUAACAGAUAUAUUGAACAAUGCGAUAUAUGAAAGAACAGGGAAUACGAAGAAAACUUAUGUAAGAGGACUUUCCUCACACACUUCUCCUGCUCCCGAGAAUCCUGAAAAAUCCACUUAUAUGCUUAUUAAUGGUGGGACAAGUAACAGAGAUCAGAUGAAAAGACGAGAAAAUCAAAAUAACAUCCCAUGGAAAAACCCAGUUCAAAGGAAAUCUAAUACUUCAAACAAACAAUCAAAUAAAUGACAAAUAAAAAGCCACACAUAAAACCCACAACCAAACACAGAAAUCAAAAUAUUCUAAAUAAAUUCUAUAACGCAUACAUAAAGUCAAAAAAUAAUACCCAAACAUAACAAACAUAACGAGCGAUGUGACAUGGGAGAAUUCGAAUGAAACUUACCAAAAAAGUAUUUCUUCAUACACUUCACCUGCUCCCGAAUAACCUGAAAAAAUGAAGUUAUACGGAUAUAAAUUGUGGGCAUAGAAACCGACAUUAAAUCAAAAGACGAAAAAAGGAAACUAACAUUCCAUGGAAAAAUGCUCCAAAAAGGAAAUUAAGAACUUCUCACCCAAAAUCAAAGAAAUCACAAACAACAAACAAAACACAAAUGUGCACAAAAAAUAACACAAAUCAACAAAUAAUACCAACACAUAACAGAGAUAAUGAAAAUUGCGAUAUAGCAGACAAAAGGGAAUACGAAGUAAACCUAGAUAAGAAGUACUUCCUCAUAAACUUCUCUUGCUUCCGAGAAACAUGAAAAGUCCAGUGAUUUGCUUAGAAAUGCUUGCCAAAGAAGCCGAGAUCACAAGAAAAGACCAGAAAUUGAAAUUACACUAUUCUCACCCACAAAGAAAGAAAUGAGAAAUAAAAAAUAAAACGCAAAGCACACAAACCAAAACAUAAUGAACAUAUUCGAACUUAAUUCAAUAAUGCUUAGAUCAAGUCAACAAAUCAUACCCAAACAUAACAGAUAUAUUGAACAAUGCGAUAUAUGAAAGAACAGGGAAUACGAAGAAAACUUAUGUAAGAAGACUUUCCUCACACACUUCUCUUGCUCCCGAGAAUCCUGAAAAAUCCACUUAUACGCUUAUUAAUGGUAGGACAAGACACCGAGAUCAGAUGAAAAGACGAGAAAAUCAAAAUAACCUCCCAUGGAAAAACCCAGUUCAAAGGAAAUCUAAUACUUCAAACAAACAAUCAAAUAAAUGACAAAUAAAAAGCCACACAUAAAACCCACAACCAAACACAGAAAUCAAAAUAUUUUGAAUAGAUUCGAUAACGCAUACAUAAAAUAAAAAAAUAAUACCCAAACAUAACAAACAUAACGAGCGAUGUGAGAUGGGAGAAUUCGAAUGAUACUUACAAAAAAAGUAUUUCUUCAUACACUUCACCUGCUCCCGAAUAACCUGAAAAAAAUGAAGUUAUACGGUUAUAAAUUGUGGGCUUAAAACCGACAUUAAAUGAAAAGACGAGAAAAGGAAACUAACAUUCCAUGGAAAAAUGCUACAAAAAGGAAAUCAAGAACUUCUCACCCAAAAUCAAAGAAAUCACAAACAACAAACAAAACACAAAUGCGCACAAAAAAUAACACAAAUGAACAAAUAAUACCAACACAUAACAGAGAUAAUGAAAAUUGCGAUAUAGCAGACAAAAGGGAAUACGAAGUAAACUUAGAUAAGAAGUACUUCCUCAUAAACUUCUCUUGCUUUCGAGUAACCUGAAAAAUCCAGUGAUAUGCUUAGAAAUGAUUGCCAAAGAAGCCGAGAUCACAAGAAAAGACCAGAAAUGGAAAUUACACUAUUCUCACCCACAAAGAAAGAAAUCAGAAAUAAAAAAUGAAACGCAAAGCACACAAACCAAAACAUAAUGAACAUAUUCGAACUUAAUUCAAUAAUGCAUAGAUCAAGUCAACAAAUCAUACCCAAACAUAACAGAUAUAUUGAACAAUGCGAUAUAUGAAAGAACAGGGAAUACGAAGAAAACUUAUGUAAGAAGACUUUCCUCACACACUUCUCCUGCUCCCGAGAAUCCUGAAAAAUCCCCUUAUAUGCUUAUUAAUGGUGGGACAAGUAACAGAGAUCAGAUGAAAAGACGAGAAAAUCAAAAUAACAUCCCAUGGAAAAACCCAGUUCAAAGGAAAUCUAAUACUUCAAACAAACAAUCAAAUGAAUGACAAAUAAAAAGCCACACAUAAAACCCACAACCAAACACAGAAAUCAAAAUAUUCUAAAUAAAUUAUAUAACGUAUGCAAAAAGUCAAAAAAUAAUACCCAAACAUAACAGAUAUAUUGAACAAUGCGAUAUAUGAAAGAAGAGGGAAUACGAAGAAAACUUAUGUAAGAAGACUUUCCUCACACACUUCUCCUGCUCCCGAGAAUCCUGAAAAAUCCACUUAUAUGCAUAUUAAUGGUUGGACAAGACACAGAGAUUAGAUGAAAAGACGAGAAAACAAAAAUAACAACCCAAGGAAAAACACAGUUCAAAGGAAAUCUAAUACUUCACACAAACAUUAAAAUAAAUGACAAAUAAAAAGCCACACAUAAAACCCACCACCAAACACAGAAAUCAAAAUAUUCUAAAUAAAUUACAUAACGUAUACAUAAAGUCAAAAAAUAAUACCCAAUCAGAACAAACAUAAGGACCGAUGUGAUAUGGGUGAAUUCGAAUGAAACUUACCAAAAAAAUAUUUCUUCAUACACUUCACCUGCUCCCGAAUAACCUGAAAAAAUGAAGUUAUACAGUUAUAAAUUGUGGGCUAAGAAACCGACAUUAAAUGAAAAGACGAGAAAAGGAAACUAACAUUCCAUGGAAAAAUGCUACAAAAAGGAAAUCAAGAACUUCUCACCCAAAAUUAAAGAAAUCACAAACAACAAACAAAACACAAAUGCGCACAAAAAAUAACACAAAUCAGCAAAUAAUACCAACAAAUAACAGAGAUAAUGAAAAUUGCGAUAUAGUAGAAAGAAGGGAAUACGAAGUAAACUUAGAUAAGAAGUACUUCCUCAUAAAUUUCUCUUGCUUCCGAGAAACCUGAAAAAUCCAGUGAUAUGCUUAGAAAUGAUUGCCAAAGAAGCCGAGAUCACAAGAAAAGACCACAAAUCGAAAUUACACUAUUCUCACCCACAAAGAAAGAAAUGAGAAAUAAAAAAUAAAACGCAAAGUACACAAACCAAAACAUAAUGAACAUAUUCGAACUUAAUUCAAUAAUGCAUAGAUCAAGUCAACAAAUCAUACCCAAACAUAAUGGAUAUAUUGAACAAUGCGAUAUAUGAAAGAACAGGGAAUACGAAGAAAACUUAUCUAAGAAGACUUUCCUCACACUCUUCUGCUGCUCCCGAGAAUCCUGAAAAAUCCACUUAUAUGCUUAUUAAUGGUUGGACAAGACACGGAGAUCAGAUGAAAAUACGAGAAAAUAAAAAUAGCAUCCCAAGGAAAAACACAGUUCAAAGGAAAUCUAAUACUUCACACAAACAAUCAAAUAAAUGAAAAAUAAAAACCAACACAUAAAACCCACAACCAAACACAGAAAUCAAAAUAUUCUAAAUAAAUUCUAUAACGCAUACAUAAAGUCAAGAAGUAAUACCCAAACAUAACAAACAUAACGAGCGAUGUCAUAUGGGAGAAUUCGAAUGAAACUUACCAAAAAAGUAUUUCUUCAUACACUUCACCAGCUCCCGAAUAACAUGGAAAAAUGAAGUUAUACGGUUCUAAAUUGUGGUCUUAGAAACCGACAUUAAAUGAAAAGACGAGAAAAGGAAACUAACAUUCCACGGAAAAAUGCUACAAAAAGAAAAUCAACAACUUCUCAACCCAUAAUGAAAGAAAUCACAAACAACAAACAAAACACAAAUGCGCACAAAAAAUAACACAAAUAAACAAAUAAUACCAACACAUAACAGAGAUAAUGAAAAUUGCGAUACAGCAGACAAAAGGGAAUACGAAGUAAACUUAGAUAAGAAGUACUUCCUCAUAAACUUCUCCUGCUUCCGAGAAACCUGAAAAAUCCAGUCAUAUGCUUAGAAAUGAUUGCCAAAGAAGCCGAGAUCACAACAAAAGACCAGAAAUGGAAAUUACACUAUUCUCACCCACAAAGAAAGAACUGAGAAAUAAAAAAUGAAACGCAAAGCACACAAACCAAAACAUAAUGAACAUAUUCGAACUUAAUUCACUAAUGCAUAGAUCAAGUCAACAAAUCAAACCCAAACAUAACAGAUAUAUUGAACAAUGCGAUAUAUGAAAGAACAGGGAAUACGAAGAAAACUUAUGUAAGAAGACUUUCCUCACACACUUCUCCUGCUCCCGAGAAUCCUGAAAAAUCCACUUAUAUGCAUAUUAAUGGUUGGACAAGACACAGAGAUUAGAUGAAAAGAUGAGAAAACAAAAAUAACAACCCAAGGAAAAACACAGUUCAAAGGAAAUCUAAUACUUCACACAAACAUUAAAAUAAAUGACAAAUAAAAAGCCACACAUAAAACCCACCACCAAACACAGAAAUCAAAAUAUUCUAAAUAAAUUAUAUAACGUAUACAUAAAGUCAAAAAAUAAUACCCAAUAAGAACAAACAUAAGGACCGAUGUGAUAUGGGUGAAUUCGAAUGAAACUUACCAAAAAAAUAUUUCUUCAUACACUUCACCUGCUCCCGAAUAACCUGAAAAAAUGAAGUUAUACAGUUAUAAAUUGUGGGCUAAGAAACCGACAUUAAAUGAAAAGACGAGAAAAGGAAACUAACAUUCCACGGAAAAAUGCUACAAAAAGGAAAUCAAGAACUUCUCACCCAAAAUUAAAGAAAUCACAAACAACAAAGAAAACACAAAUGCGCACAAAAAAUAACACAAAUGAGCAAAUAAUACCAACACAUAACAGAGAUAAUGAAAAUUGCGAUAUAGUAGAAAGAAGGGAAUACGAAGUAAACUUAGAUAAGAAGUACUUCCUCAUAAAUUUCUCUUGCUUCCGAGAAACCUGAAAAAUCCAGUGAUAUGCUUAGAAAUGAUUGCCAAAGAAGCCGAGAUCACAAGAAAAUACCAGAAAUGGAAAUUACACUAUUCUCACCCACAAAGAAAGAAAUGAGAAAUAAAAAAUAAAACGCAAAGCACACAAACCAAAACAUAAUGAACAUAUUCGAACUUAAUUCAAUAAUGCAUAGAUCAAGUCAACAAAUCAUACCCAAACAUAACAGAUAUAUUGAACAAUGCGAUAUAUGAAAGAACAGGGAAUACGAAGAAAACUUAUCUAAGAGGACUUUCCUCACACUCUUCUCCUGCUCCUGAGAAUCCUGAAAAAUCCACUUAUAUGCUUAUUAAUGGUUGGACAAGACACGGAUAUCAGAUGAAAAGACGAGAAAAUAAAAAUAGCAUCCCAAGGAAAAACACAGUUCAAAGGAAAUCUAAUACUUCACACAAACAAUCAAAUAAAUGACAAAUAAAAAGCCACACAUAAAACCCACAACCAAACACAGAAAUCAAAAUAUUCUAAAUAAAUUAUAUAUCGUAUGCAUAAAGUCAAAAAAUAAUACCCAAACAUAACAAACAUAACGAGCGAUGUGAUUUGGGAGAAUUCGAAUGAAACUUACCAAAAAAGUAUUUCUUCAUACACUUCACCUGCUCCCGAAUAACCUGAAAAAAUGAAGUUAUACGGUUAUAAAUUGUGGGCUUAGAAACCGACAUGAAAUGAAAAGACGAGAAAAGGAAACUAACCUUCCACGGAAAAAUGCUACAAAAAGGAAAUCAACAACUUCUCACCCAUAAUCAAAGAAAUCACAAACAACAAACAAAACACAAAUCCGCAC